rnacentral:rRNA from 1 species
GAUGAACGCUGGCGGCGUGCCUAAUACACGCAAGUCGAGCGAACAGAUGAGAAGCUUGCUUCUCUGAUGUUAGCGGCGGACGGGUGAGUAACACGUGGGUAACCUACCUAUAAGACUGGGAUAACUCCGGGAAACCGGGGCUAAUACCGGAUAAUAUUUUGAACCGCAUGGUUCGAUAGUGAAAGACGGUUUCGGCUGUCACUUAUAGAUGGACCCGCGCCGUAUUAGCUAGUUGGUAAGGUAACGGCUUACCAAGGCGACGAUACGUAGCCGACCUGAGAGGGUGAUCGGCCACACUGGAACUGAGACACGGUGCAGGCUCCUACGGGAGGCAGCAGUAGGGAAUCUUCCGCACUGGGCGAAAGCCUGACGUAGCAACGCCGCGUGAGUGAUGCAGGUCUUCGGAUCGUAAAACUCUGUUGUUAGGGAAGAACAAAUUUGUUAGUAACUGAACAAGUCUUGACGGUACCUAACCAGAAAGCCACGGCUAACUACGUGCCAGCAGCCGCGGUAA